UAGCUCGGGUUGCUUUCACGGAUACAGCGUGUCGGACACUGCGCUAUCCUUUUCCUUUCGCUGUGUUUACUUCGUGUGCUGCCGGGCCACUGGACCGACUUUGCCGUGUAUUAUUCCUCGAGGGAACGAUCGAUUUCACUUGGCACGCAUACGCUUCUCUCUCGCUCUCUUUCUCUCGCCGCACCGGCCCACUCACCAACGCGGAUCGGCCAGUGGCAUACAUCCACCCACCCUUCGCAGACGCCCUAGCAGACGAGGGAGAGAGGCAAAGAGCAGAGGCGCCAUGUCGCGCAGUCAGCUUUCCAUCGACUUGGAGGAUUUUUUGGGGUAUGAGGCACCGAUCCCCACGGAUGCCUUUGUUGUCGGUAUCCGCCCGCGCGCGCCGCUUUCGCGACGAUCUGCGCAUGCAUAUGAUGGCAAUGGCAGCGACCUUUCCGAUCGGUCGUCGUGGCCCAACUCCGUCGUUGCGUCAACCGAUGUGCGCAGUCGGCGCAGACCGCGAGAGAUGUCGUAUGAGCUACAUGAGAACCUCGAAGCACAGCGACGGACCUUGGUCGGGCAAUCUCGUCGCCCGAAUUCGCCCAGAAGCCGCGUCACGGUGAUUGAAGAGGAGGAAGCUAUGAAUUCCGAGACCACCGUGGGCACCAAUGACGAUGAGGCCGAGCAACAGCGCCGUGGUGGACCGCGCCGUCGGCUGGAGUCGAAUCGAGCUCAGCUAAGCCGCGAGUUUAGCGAGGCGCGGGACCUGGAGCGGCGGCAGCAGCAGCUCAUUGCCAUGCUGACAAGUCGUCUUGAUGACAUGGACGCCCGCUUUCAGGCGCAGGUGACGGAGCUGUCGGCGAAGCUGGAGAAGAUGAACGUCAGUGUGGGCGAGAAAUACGACUCUAUCUACAGCAAGAUGUCGGACACGAUAAGUGCACGAGCGGAGGAGGUGUCACGACUGGAGCAGGAGCUGAGGGCGUUGAAAAUUUCAAACGCAGAGGAGUUCAAAUCAUGCCGCGAUAGCAUCGUGGCGUGCCGCGCAGACUUUUCCAAGCUGGAGGGCCGACUGGAAGGUGUACUGUCCCGUCCGUCGCCGUCGUCCGUAGCAGCCGCCCCCUCUCCUUCAUCGACCUCCGUCUCGCCGGCGCCACCAGCGCAGCCGUGCUCAUCGUCAACGGCGUUCAAGCCUGGUGGUAACGCUUGCGGCGGCUUCCUCUCCAGCCUCCCCUCGGCAGCGGCGCUUUCUGCCAACGCGCCCGCUUCGUCUCACCCAUCUCCUUCGGCAUCAACCGCCGGCACUGGAUUCGGCUUGGGUACCUCGACAACGGCGCUGGGCGGAAUUGGCACCAGCUCGCUUGGCGAGAAGCCGGCGGAGAAGGCGGGCGCUGCCGCAGCCGCAACCGGAGCGGGGCACACAAGGGCCGAAACCGUCAAUGCUUCGAGUGCGUCGACGUCCCCAAAGGCACCGACUUUCGAAAACCCCUUUCCCACCCCUCCAGCUGACGCGAGCACCUCGGCCAACCCGUUUUCUUUUGGCGGCUCCGCGAACGCAAAUGCAGUCGCCGCCACGAAGCCGCAGGACACCUCAUCCGACAAGCCGACAACCUCAGCAAGCACGAGCACAUUUGGUGGGGCGAGCAGCAGUUUCCCUGCAGUCGCGAGUGCAGCGCCGCGUACCGCGGAGGCCAAGCCGUCGGUGUUUGGCGGUGGCGUCACAGACGCGUUGCAGGGUGCUGCUGCUGCGCCGGUGUCGUCUGGCGCAGCCUCCACCAGUUUCUCGUUCCUAGCAAAGCCGUCGACACCACCGGCGCAAGGCAGCAGCGCGGUGACAAGCGGUUUCAAAGUCGCUGCUGCACCGUCUGACACGGCGAGCGCAUCGCCGUUCUCGUUCACAAGUGGCGGUGCAACGCCGGCCUCUUCGGCAGCAGCCGGAAAUCCUUUUAUGCCUGCGACGGUCGAUUCGUCGAGCCCGAAGCCUUCAGCAUUUGCGGUGCAGUGACGCCUCAGCAGGCGCCACCGCCGGCGAACGGAGGCACCUCCGCAGCAUCGGCACCGGCGACUACCACCUCCUCAUCUUUGGACAUGAGUAACCCUAGUGCGCGUGCACCGGGGAGCGGUGGUAACAGCAGUGGCGGCAGCCGCAGUGGCGGUUUCGGUGGUGUUGCUUUUCCUGCAUCCACCACACCAUCAUCAGGCGCACAAGCAGCACCGGCAGGGGCCUUUUCCUUCGGCACAUCCCACGCUCAAGGACCGAACGUGUCCCCUGCGGCAUUCGCCAGCGCGGCUGGUGUCUCUUCAGUGUCAUCAACUGCACCGGCAUCCGGCUCUUCAGGCAGCGGAACUGCUUCUGCCUUUGGAAUCAGCACUGCUAACAGCGGUGGCAGCAACGGUAGCACGCCGUUUGGCAGCAGCAACACCGGCAACACGGCUGGUGGCGGCCCUGGUGCAUUUGGCAGCAGUACCUUUCCUUCCACCGGCGCCUUCUCGUCCUCGGCCGCCGCUUCGGCAUCCACCCCGUUCAGUGGCCCGUUUAACGGUGGCGGCAGCGCGCCGGCUGCUUCUGCCUCUGCUCCCCCGACCUUUGGAGGGUGCUCGAACGGCGCUCCAUCGAGCGUUUUCAACUUCGGCGGUGCACCGUUCACUGCCGAACAGGGCACGACUGGCGCGCAGGGUGCGAACAUGAACCCACCGAAGCCGGCCGGCACCACAUUCGGCGGAGGCGGUUUCACUGCCCACACCAACGCCAAUGCCUUUGGCGCGUCGGCAGGUCCGAACGUCGUGCCUACCAAUGCGUUUUCUGGGGCUAGCAACACCGCCGGCACCGGUGGCUCCAGCUCCAUGCUCGGAGGCAGCGGCGGAGGUGCGGGCAGCAAUCCGGUGAAUGGCAGCGCUGCGUCUGCGGCAUUCGGGUCGAAAGCGAGCAACAACAACGCCGGCAACUCCCUCUUUGGCUCCGGCGGCGGCGGACCUGCUGCCGUUGCUGCUGGGACAUUUGGAGCGGUGCCUGCAGGAGGGCCGGUACCCGUGUUUGGCAGCAGCCCGGCAGGUGGAAAUGGACCUUCUCGCAGCGUCUUUGGAGCUGCUCCGCCAGCCUUCUCGCAACCGCUCGGGACCUCUCCGGCAUUUGGCGGUGGUGGUGGCGGUGCUGCUACGAUGGGGGUGAUGGGUGGGUCGUCACAGGGGACGAGCAUUCUAGGCUCGAGCAGCUCUCGCAAGAAGGCGCCCAGACGCUACUGACCUGUAUGCAUGCCGUCGUGGUAGGGGUCCGGGGGGUCGAGUCUUCCGGCAUUUGAGUUGGUGGCGGUGCUGCAAGACGUGAGGCGCGUUUUCGCUUGACAUGUGUGCGCACACUGCUUUACAUGUCAUGUUGAUCAGGGGCCUCUUUCUGUCUUUCUUUCUUCCGCUCGCCUGCAGCGUCGGCUCUAAAGCAGGUGCCAGGGCGGCAGCAGAUCUGUGCUGUGUGUGGUGAACGCAGAGGUAGUGCGUGCGCUUGGUCGAGGGUAAGCUCAGUGCAAGAGGUGAUGCCGUUGGUCUACUUGCUCACCCCCCUCUCCGACGUGAUCACCUCGCAGAAUGUCCUCUAGAAAUGCACUCAGAGCGUUAAUGACGUGCUUUGGUUUCGUCUGGUUUCUCUUAUGUUCUAAUUGCUCGCGGCACAGCCUCUGCGUAUGCGUAGUGCAUGUCUCCUGCGUAGGCCUGCUGUGGAUGUGUGUGGGACUGUGAUGAGAGU
rnacentral:misc_RNA from 1 species